rnacentral:rRNA from 1 species
AUUGAACGCUGGCGGCAUGCUUUAUACAUGCAAGUCGUGCGGCAGCGCGGGGGCAACUCUGGCGGCGAGCGGCGAACGGGUGAGUAAUACAUAGGAACGUAUCCUGAAAUGGGGGAUAGCUCGGCGAAAGCCGGAUUAAUACCGCAUACGCUCCACGGAGGAAAGCAGGGGAUCGCAAGACCUUGCGUUUCUGGAGCGGCCUAUGUCUGAUUAGCUAGUGGCGGGGUAAUAGCCCACCAAGGCGACGAUCAGUAGCUGGUCUGAGAGGAUGAUCAGCCACACUGGGACUGAGACACGGCCCAGACUCCUACGGGAGGCAGCAGUAGGGAAUUUUGGACAAUGGGGCAACCCUGAUCCAGCCAUGCCGCGUGAGUGAAGAAGGCCUGG